CGGUUAAGUUAGAAAGGGCGCACGGUGGAUGCCUUGGCACUAGGAGCCGAUGAAGGACGGGACGAACACCGAUAUGCUUCGGGGAGCUGUAAGCAAGCUUUGAUCCGGAGAUUUCCGAAUGGGGAAACCCACCACUCGUAAUGGAGUGGUAUCCAUAUCUGAAUACAUAGGAUAUGAGAAGGCAGACCCGGGGAACUGAAACAUCUAAGUACCCGGAGGAAGAGAAAGCAAAUGCGAUUCCCUGAGUAGCGGCGAGCGAAACGGGACCAGCCCAAACCAAGAGGCUUGCCUCUUGGGGUUGUAGGACACUCUGUACGGAGUUACAAAGGAAAAACUUCGUUCUCUCCUGAGUGGAUCCUGAGUACGGCGGAACACGUGAAAUUCCGUCGGAAUCCGGGAGGACCAUCUCCCAAGGCUAAAUACUCCCUAGUGACCGAUAGUGAACCAGUACCGUGAGGGAAAGGUGAAAAGCACCCCGGAAGGGGAGUGAAAGAGAUCCUGAAACCGUGUGCCUACAAGUAGUCAGAGCCCGUUAACGGGUGAUGGCGUGCCUUUUGUAGAAUGAACCGGCGAGUUACGAUCCCGUGCAAGGUUAAGCAGAAGAUGCGGAGCCGCAGCGAAAGCGAGUCUGAAUAGGGCGAAUUGAGUACGUGGUCGUAGACCCGAAACCAGGUGAUCUACCCAUGUCCAGGGUGAAGUUCAGGUAACACUGAAUGGAGGCCCGAACCCACGCACGUUGAAAAGUGCGGGGAUGAGGUGUGGGUAGGGGUGAAAUGCCAAUCGAACCUGGAGAUAGCUGGUUCUCUCCGAAAUAGCUUUAGGGCUAGCCUCAAGGUAAGAGUCUCGGAGGUAGAGCACUGAUUGGACUAGGGGCCCCUACCGGGUUACCGAAUUCAGUCAAACUCCGAAUGCCGAUGACUUAUCCUUGGGAGUCAGACUGCGAGUGAUAAGAUCCGUAGUCGAAAGGGAAACAGCCCAGACCGCCAGCUAAGGUCCCAAAGUAUACGUUAAGUGGAAAAGGAUGUGGAGUUGCUUAGACAACCAGGAUGUUGGCUUAGAAGCAGCCACCAUUUAAAGAGUGCGUAAUAGCUCACUGGUCGAGUGACUCUGCGCCGAAAAUGUACCGGGGCUAAACGUAUCACCGAAGCUGCGGACUGUUCUUCGAACAGUGGUAGGAGAGCGUUCUAAGGGCUGUGAAGCAAGACCGGAAGGACUUGUGGAGCGCUUAGAAGUGAGAAUGCCGGUAUGAGUAGCGAAAGAGGGGUGAGAAUCCCCUCCACCGAAUGCCUAAGGUUUCCUGAGGAAGGCUCGUCCGCUCAGGGUUAGUCGGGACCUAAGCCGAGGCCGAAAGGCGUAGGCGAUGGAAACAGGUUGAUAUUCCUGUACCACCUCCUCACCAUUUGAGCAAUGGGGGGACGCAGGAGGAUAGGGUAAGCGCGGUAUUGGAUAUCCGCGUCCAAGCAGUUAGGCUGGGAAAUAGGCAAAUCCGUUUCCCGUGAAGGCUGAGCUGUGAUGGCGAGCGAAUUAUAGUAGCGAAGUUCCUGAUUCCACACUGCCAAGAAAAGCCUCUAGCGAGGUGAGAGGUGCCCGUACCGCAAACCGACACAGGUAGGCGAGGAGAGAAUCCUAAGGUGAUCGAGAGAACUCUCGUUAAGGAACUCGGCAAAAUGACCCCGUAACUUCGGGACCCUGGCUGUAUUGACCUUCUAACCCGCCGCCCUUAUCGGGCGGGGAGACAGUGUCAGGUGGGCAGUUUGACUGGGGCGGUCGCCUCCUAAAAGGUAACGGAGGCGCCCAAAGGUUCCCUCAGAAUGGUUGGAAAUCAUUCGCAGAGUGUAAAGGCACAAGGGAGCUUGACUGCGAGACCUACAAGUCGAGCAGGGACGAAAGUCGGGCUUAGUGAUCCGGUGGUUCCGCAUGACCGCUGGUGUACCAGUUGUUCUGCCAAGGGCAUCGCUGGGUAGCUAUGUGCGGACGGGAUAAGUGCUGAAAGCAUCUAAGCAUGAAGCCCCCCUCAAGAUGAGAUUUCCCAUUCCGCAAGGAAGUAAGAUCCCUGAAAGAUGAUCAGGUUGAUAGGUCUGAGGUGGAAGUGUGGCGACACAUGGAGCUGACAGAUACUAAUCGAUCGAGGACUUAACCAAUUU
rnacentral:rRNA from 1 species